rnacentral:rRNA from 1 species
AUGCAAGAUCUAAGGGUACCAACUCAGUUUCAAAUGCUUUACGACAAGCACAAGGGUAUUUUUGCAGCGGAGGUGGAUGAUGUUGUAGGCAAGUUUGGACAGUGUUUAAAGGGAUUGCAGUGCAGCCGGAUGGCUGCCCUCCUUCGCGAUGUUGGAGACGCCGUCACAGCUACCAGUGAGCCCAACUUCUCCUUCGAAGCACCUAUCAUGGACGAAUGUCGCGGAAAAGAGAAUGAUGCUAAAGCUGCAAAUGAUGGCAUUGGUGCUCAAGCUCAAGCUGAAGGUACAACACCUAGCAUUAACAAGGAUGAAGUCACCGGAUUGAAGCAACAAGUAGCAACCGAGGCUGCUGAAACUCGUGAGCAACAAAUAGUGAGUUUCGAGAUGGAAGGGAACGUCUCACCUCACAGCCCCCCACUCUUCUAUGAUGCACCCAGGAGUGCGACAGCUGGCAUUUGGGACGACGAGCCAUCCUGUGAGUUGUUCCCAAAGGGCUCCGAAGACUACGAGAUGAUGCAUUGCACGGAUGAGCCUAUAACCAAGAAAAGCACAGUCAGCCCCAUAUUUGAAAACAUCCCCGUGUUCCCUGUUUCAGACGAUGAUGACAGCCCAACUCCUAAUAUGGUCGCUACAGAAGAGCAUUUUGUUGAGGCAAGCAGUGGCCCUAGCACACAUGACAAGAACACUAGGAAGAAGAGGAUGGCCAAAGUUCCAGCGGUAAAAAAUACCAAGGCAAAGAAGCAAAAGGUUGAUGCAGCUGCAGCCAUGUAUGAGAAGUAUGUAAAGCAUGGGAAACCAUUGAGGAGAUCACAUGCCAAUGAACAAGUGACACCUUUCAUCAAGAUGGGUGGAUUUUACAUUGGAUACAAGAAAUUCCUGGUAUGCUUCAAGCCUCGUGGGGAUAUGAAUGAUGAGGUUAUGUCCCUAUGCAUCGAGAUGAACAACAUGACAUCCCGUGCAGCAAGUGGUACGAAUCGGAAGAAAUACAUGUUCUCAGUCCACGCGGGGAUGCUACUAAAACAAGACCCAACAACCUUCCAACCAGCAAAACUCAUACCCGAGCUUGAAAGGGCUGUGACAAAGUUCAAGGCGAAUAAAUAUGACCUCUGGAAUGUAUUUGACUCAAUCCAUUCAAAAGGAAAACAAUCUCCUUUGAAGAAGCAAGCAAAUAACCUGAUCACAAACUUUGCAGCCCUCGCACAAGAGUACAGCCAAUUCAAUGUCGAUGUUGGAUCCUUCGCCCGUGUUGACCUAGAGGAUUACCCAAAGCAAGAUAACCUAUGUGAUUGUGGCUUUUUCGGGCUCAAAUAUGUGGAGAACUUUGAUGGAAAGUCAAUGAAAGAGUUCAAUCAGGAAGACGUGGCGCGAUACCGCAUGGAUGUGGUGCACAACCUUUGCACUCACCCAAUGAACAAUGCCCCAAUGGAGCGGGCAUUCAAUGAAGAGUUGGCGGCUUAA